CGGCGGACGGGUGAGUAACACGUGAGUAACCUGCCUUAGACAUAGGGAUAGCCUCGGGAAACCGGGAUUAAUACCAAAUGAAAUCACAUAUGCACAUGCAUAAAUGAUCAAAGCUCCGGCGGUCUAAGAUGGACUCGCGUCCCAUUAGCUAGUUGGUGAGGUAACGGCCCACCAAGGCGACGAUGGGUAGCCGGCCUGAGAGGGUGAACGGCCACAUUGGAACUGAGAAACGGUCCAAACUCCUACGGGAGGCAGCAGAC
rnacentral:rRNA from 1 species